rnacentral:rRNA from 1 species
CCUCGGAUCAGGUAGGGAUACCCGCUGAACUUAAGCAUAUCAAUAAGCGGAGGAAAAGAAACCAACCGGGAUUGCCUCAGUAACGGCGAGUGAAGCGGCAAGAGCUCAAAUUUGAAAUCUGGCCCCCCCGGGGUCCG